GACGAACGCUGGCGGCGUGCUUAACACAUGCAAGUCGAACGGAAAGGCCCUGCUUUUGUGGGGUGCUCGAGUGGCGAACGGGUGAGUAACACGUGAGUAACCUGCCCUUGACUUUGGGAUAACUUCAGGAAACUGGGGCUAAUACCGGAUAGGAGCUCCUGCUGCAUGGUGGGGGUUGGAAAGUUUCGGCGGUUGGGGAUGGACUCGCGGCUUAUCAGCUUGUUGGUGGGGUAGUGGCUUACCAAGGCUUUGACGGGUAGCCGGCCUGAGAGGGUGACCGGCGACAUUGGGACUGAGAUACGGCCCAGACUCCAACGGGAGGCAGCAGUGGGGAAUAUUGCACAAUGGGAGGAAGCCUGAUGCAGAAACGCCGCGUGCGGGAUGACGGCCUUCGGGUUGUAAACCGCUUUCGCCUGUGACGAAGCGUGAGUGACGGUAAUGGGUAAAGAAGCACCGGCUAACUACGUG
rnacentral:rRNA from 1 species